UACAGAGGGUGCUAGCGUUGUUCGGAAUCAUUGGGCGUAAAGGGCGUGUAGGCGGUUUGUUAAGUCAUGUGUGAAAUCCCUCGGCUCAACCGGGGAAGGACGCAUGAAACUGGCAAGCUAGAGUACCAAAGAGGGGGGUGGAAUUCCCGGUGUAGCGGUGAAAUGCGUAGAUAUCAGGAGGAACACCGAUGGCGAAGGCAGGUCUCUGGGCCAUUACUGACGCUGAGAAGCGAAAGCAUGGGGAGCGAACAGG
rnacentral:rRNA from 1 species